rnacentral:tRNA from 1 species
GGGCACGUCGGUUAGUGGUAAACCAACGGUCUCCAAAACCGUAACCGGGAGUUCGAUUCUCCCCGUGCCUGCCA